GAUGAACGCUGGCGGCGUGCCUAAUACAUGCAAGUCGAGCGAACGGACGAGAAGCUUGCUUCUCUGAUGUUAGCGGCGGACGGGUGAGUAACACGUGGAUAACCUACCUAUAAGACUGGGAUAACUUCGGGAAACCGUAGCUAAUACCGGAUAAUAUUUUGAACCGCAUGGUUCAAUAGUGAAAGACGGUCUUGCUGUCACUUAUAGAUGGAUCCGCGCUGCAUUAGCUAGUUGGUAAGGUAACGGCUCACCAAGGCAACGAUGGAUAGCCGACCUGAGAGGGUGGUCGGCCACACUGGAACUGAGACACGGUCCAGACUACUACGGGAGGCAGCAGUAGGGAAUCUUCCGCAAUGGGCGAAAGCCUGACGGAGCAACGCCGCGUGAGUGAUGAAGGUCUUCGGAUCGUAAAACUCUGCUAUUAGGGAAGAACAUAUGUGUAAGUAACUGUGCACAUCUUGACGGUACCUAAUCAGAAAGCCACGGCUAACUACGUG
rnacentral:rRNA from 1 species